rnacentral:lncRNA from 1 species
UUCAUCUUGUCUUAUGACUGUUAUUUUAUCUCUGUUUCAUAUCACCUCAAACUUGGAAAUUGGCUACUUUCCCCUGGUUCCUACAAAGCAACCACUUGCAUGAGGCCAGUGUGCACAGAGCAGUCUUUAAAUAGUUAGAGAAGUAGGGAGUAGACAACCAUGCAAUAAAGGUUGAAUAUCCACACUCUCCCAAGUCACAGUCAUUCCCAGCAGCUCGGGCUCCAGCUUCUUGCUACGUUUUGGACCCUUUCCUACCCACCAUCAAAUUCUACCUAAGGAUCCAUCUUUCAAAGUAGUUUAAAGGAGGAUUCCCAUUGUGGCUCAGCGGUAACAAACCCGACUAGUAUCCAUGAGGACAUAGGUUCGAUCCCUGGCUUUGUUCAGUGGGUUAAGGAUCCAGCAUUGCUAUGAGCUGUGGUGUAGAUCUCAGAUGUGGCUCAGAUCUAGUGUUGUUGUGGCUGUAGUGUAGACUGGCAGCUAAAGCUCUGAUUGGACCCCUAGCCUGGGAACUUCCACAUGCUGCAGGUGUGGCCCUAGAAAGAUCAAAAAAAAAAAAAGUGUAGAUGAAGGAAACUUAGAAAUCAUGCAUUCCUCAAGCUCUUCUUCAUGGAACCCUAUACAUUUCAUUUGCUUCUGUAUCCUCCCUUUAUCAUACUGUCCUAUAAUUCCUUUUCAUUACCAUUUUGCUGCCCCACCAGGCUUUAGAUGCUUUUUGAGGGCUGAGUCAUUAUCACAUCUGGACCUCCAGGGUCUACCAUCAUAGCUUAAUAGAGUAAGCAUUCAAUUAAUGUCUUUUGCAUAAAUGGUCUUCCAGGAUGUGACAUCCCCCCACACACAUGCACACAAGUAUACCUUUCAUGAUGUAUAAGUUUAUAAAAAGUAAGGCUCUGAGAAGAGAAAUCACAUGCCUCAGAACCACAGUAUAAAAUCCAGGUAUCCUACUUCUUCAAACUGAUGUUCUCCACAAUACUCUCCUACUCUAGCUGUUCACAAGUAUGUUCCAUGAAUUUUCUUAUCCUAGCUCUGCUAUAAAACAUCUCUCCACUUUUUUCGCAAUAGGUUCUACUUAAGAGAAACAAGUUAUAGAAAUUUUCUCCUGGUGGCAAAAUUCCCUGCAUCAAUAUUAUGGCAUCUUCAUCAACAUGUAUAAAUAUGUUGUACUAACAAUAUUAAUUAAUAUUGAAAACUGCAAGUAGAAUCAAUCUUUGGAAUCGUCCCUAAACUGAAAAAAUAAAAAGAGGAAAGGAAUUAACACUCAGUGAUGGAGAUUUUGGCCUCAAAGGACCCUUUUAUUUAUAAUAUUCAGGUUGAUACUCAGUACCCAAAGCUUUCUCUGGGGUAGGCAGCAAAGAAACAUUUCUUGUAAAUGGUGUAUUUUGUUUUCCUACUGAAAAUCCAUGAAGGAGUUUUUUUAAAUAUUUCAAAACAUCACAUUGCAAAUCUGUUAAGUUUCUUUUAAGAGAUUAUUUGAGAAUGCUGUUUAUAAUGUCAUUAUCACUGAUCAUCCUUUCAUGACUCAUUAAAUAGUUUCACAUCUGAAAUGAACUGAAGAUUUUUUUACUCAACCAUUCACACUGUCUAAAACCAGACAAGGUGAAAACACAGCAUCAUCUUCUAGAAGUCUCUGUGCCUCCAGGUUGAUCAGCUUCCCAGGUACUUCCGAAGUCCUACCAACAGUGGAAAGAGAAACUUCCCCUCUGUGCUACAUCCUGCAAACCUCCCCUCCUCAUACCAUAUGCUGCAAACCAUUCCUCUGACCAUAGCUUUCCAUUAUCUAUUUUUAUGACUCUUACAAAGAAAAUGGAAGUAAUAUUUUUAUGAUAAAGCCACUCCAGAAAUGCAUUUUUCGAACAGCUUACUGAUUUAUUUAAAUGAGUUCUCCACUGAUUUAUGUUUGAUAACGUAAAAACAGCCUUUAACUACUUUUCUUGUCACAGCUGUUGACUUUUUUCUUCCUUUGAUCUCAUAUGUAAGGAAAUGUUCAAAUAUAUUAGGCUUGUUCCCAAACUUACUAAUCAGAAUCUGCUAGAGUGACGGCAGGCAAUCUGGAUGUUUUAAAGGGCCUCCAAUAACUAUGGUGAUUAGCUAGGUUUAGGAACACUCCACCAAACUCAAGAAUAAAUUCAACACUGAAAUUAAUGUGAAACACUUAUGUACAUGUGUUAAUGUAUUUUUUUCCUGGAGAGAGGAUGCCCUUUCUAAAAUUUUCAAAAGCAUCUUUAAGAAUGAGACAGACCUAUGAUGAAAAUAACUCAUAUUCUGAAAGAUUUGGAAUAUUUUAGGAUCUCAAGUCUCUGGACUUGAGGUCAAAAUAGAAUCAUCUUUCCUAAAUUGUGUUCUCUGCUUAUUAAAAAGAAUCAGUGUUCCAGAGUACAUGGGUCUAAAGAGCCAUAAUAUAAUGAUUCCAACUCUAUGCCAAAAAGUACUUUGAAAUAUUCCUAUUAUCAUAUAUGCCUUCCUUUACUGAACAGCCCAACAAACUUCUCCGGUACCAUUUAUUCCUUUUGUAUCAGCAUUUGCAUUGGACUCUUCUGUAGUUACACUAGUCUCAUCAUUUACACUGGGUUACUGUGCAUAAACAGGCUGCUCACAUCUAAGGCACUGAGCAAAGGAUGCAAAUGCCUCUAUGCAUCAAUCCAGUCCUGCAACUACUCAUAGGGGGUGCCUUUUUCCUAAUUCAUAUAUGUACUAGUAGUGGUCCUGUCUUUUCCCACUCUUUUUUUCUUCCUACUGGAAGGAAUAGCAUAUGCAUAUCCAAAGAUAAGAAUUUGUCCAUAACCUGCCCCCUUUUAUCUGUAGCCUUGAUCUGAUCUGGGUCUUCUAAAGAAUAGAAGUGUUUAAGUCUAUCUAUGUAUUAACCACAACAAAGCAAAGUAAGAGCGAGAUGAUAAUGACAAUAAAAUCUCCUUACUUCAUAAUUAAUAGAUUUUAUAGUAUAUCUUGACUUUUAAUAAGUAACUUAAAUUGUCAUUUGAUUAUAUUCCCUCAUCUAUAAAAUUAAAUACUUCACUCACAGGGCAGUUGAGAGGAUCUAAAAAGAUAUGUAUGUGAAAAUAUUUUGCAAACUCCUACAAGUGUUAAAAGUAUAAAAUGGCAUUAAUAUUAUCAAUAUAAUUUCAAUUAAAUUUAAUAUUGGCAAAGUGAAUAAUGCUUAUGACUAUGAGAAUAUACUGAGAAUAAGUCUCAUCUCUGAUUUCAAAGAGGUUACAACUCAGUGAAGGACUGUAGGCAAUAUAUACAAAUCAUUUACCAUAGAUUAGAGUGGAAUACUAAAUUCCAAUUGAUUCAAGUGAAUAAUAAGAGCAAAAAUGUGAUCAUUCAAUAGACAUGGUUCAAAAAAGCUUGCAGAGGAUGCAGAAGUUAAGGCAUAUUUUAAAAGAUGGUUAUGAUUUGAGUAGAAGUAGUGGUUGGGAAAGCUUAAGAAAUGCUACUUUUAAUUAAUACUCCUUUUUUUCCAAUUCUUCCUCUAAGGAGGGCUCCAAAUAAAUAAACUUCUGAUCUUCCCAGGCAAAGUCCUUAGAAGCAUAGCAUAAUGGCACAAUCAAUAAUAGAUAGGUCAGGAUUAAUAAGAGAAAGGCAAUUAAGAGAAAGGAAAUGUCACAUUGCCUAGUGCACAAUCAUGUAAAAGUAUUGGUUGCCUUGUCAUUCCCACCUUGCUCAUUCAAAAUUUGGCCUAAAAAUAAUCAAGCUUGAUAAAAGAGAUGUUUCCAAAGUACAAUAAGUGCCUUUGGGCAUGGAGUAGAGGUUUUGUCUCCAAAUUUUAAGUCAUCUUUUAGGGAUCUCAGAACUUAGAAGGGCUCUCUCCAGGGAAAUACUUUGGAGAACAGGCUCCUUUUCCUGUUUGGUUUUCAGUGUAUGUCUCAGGUUGGGGCAUGUUUCUGAGGUCCAACUCUAAUGCUGUCUCUAAAAACAAAUCCAGGCUCUUUAUCAUCAGAGCCUAACACAAGUGAUUUUGGUCAAAAAUAAAAUGAUCAUUCAUUCAUAUAGACACAGAUUUUUACAAAUUAGAAAAAUUCCUAUAACCCAAAAAAUCCAGAUAACACAGGUUACAUUACAGUAUUUCCAUUUACCUCACAUUUUUAGGGACAUGUAAUGGAAUUUAUGGCAGGUGAACUUUUGAUUAAACAGUGGUUACUCAUCAAAGAAAAGCAGGAAGGGAGCAUAAGAACACCAUUAGUUCUUUUCAUCUUAGCUUUUCUCUGUCUCUUUCUGGUUAUUCUCC